rnacentral:rRNA from 1 species
CCUACGGGAGGCAGCAGUGGGGAAUCAUUCACAAUGGGGGAAACCCUGAUGGUGCGACGCCGCGUGGGGGAAUGAAGGUCUUCGGAUUGUAAACCCCUGUCAUGUGGGAGCAAAUUAAAAAGAUAGUACCACAAGAGGAAGAGACGGCUAACUCUGAGCCAGCAGCCGCGGUCAUACAGAGGUCUCAAGCGUUGUUCGGAAUCACUGGGCGUAAAGCGUGCGUAGGCUGUUUCGUAAGUCGUGUGUGAAAGGCGCGGGCUCAACCCGCGGACGGCAACUGAUACUGGGAGACUUGAGUAAAGGAGAGGGAAGCGGAAUUCGCGGUGUAGCAGUGAAAUGCGUAGAUAUCUAGAGGAACACUCGUGGCGAAGGCGGGUUCCUGGACAUUAACUGACGCUGAGGCACGAAGGCCAGGGGAGCGAAAGGGAUUAGAUACCCCUGUAGUC